rnacentral:rRNA from 1 species
AAAUUGAAGAGUUUGAUCAUGGCUCAGAUUGAACGCUGGCGGCAGGCCUAACACAUGCAAGUCGAGCGGUAGCACAGAGAGCUUGCUCUCGGGUGACGAGCGGCGGACGGGUGAGUAAUGUCUGGGAAACUGCCUGAUGGAGGGGGAUAACUACUGGAAACGGUAGCUAAUACCGCAUAACGUCGCAAGACCAAAGUGGGGGACCUUCGGGCCUCAUGCCAUCAGAUGUGCCCAGAUGGGAUUAGCUGGUAGGUGGGGUAACGGCUCACCUAGGCGACGAUCCCUAGCUGGUCUGAGAGGAUGACCAGCCACACUGGAACUGAGACACGGUCCAGACUCCUACGGGAGGCAGCAGUGGGGAAUAUUGCACAAUGGGCGCAAGCCUGAUGCAGCCAUGCCGCGUGUGUGAAGAAGGCCUUCGGGUUGUAAAGCACUUUCAGCGGGGAGGAAGGCGAUAAGGUUAAUAACCUUGUCGAUUGACGUUACCCGCAGAAGAAGCACCGGCUAACUCCGUGCCAGCAGCCGCGGUAAUACGGAGGGUGCA